GCAGCCUCGUUCCACAUCCCCAGCUGCUGCAGAUAAGAAAAUCUCUUCUUUUAUGGGGGAAAAGCUUCUAAUUGUCCAAAUCAAGCAUUGUAGACGUUGCUUAAAACUAUGCAUUUCAACAAUUUCUAAAUGUCAUGGAUUAUUGGAGACAUUUAAAGACAAUGGAAAAGACCUCCUGAAGAAACCUGUGAAAGAAGUCAACAAGAAGAGGGGCAGCACGGUGGCACAGCGGUAGACUUGCUGUCUUACAGCGCCAGAGACCCGGGAUCGAUCCUGACAACGGGUGCUGUCUGUAUG